rnacentral:rRNA from 1 species
GACGAACGCUGGCGGUGUGCUUAACACAUGCAAGUCGAACGGUAAGGCCCUUUCGGGGGUACACGAGUGGCGAACGGGCGAGUAACACGUGAGUAACCUGCCCUCAUCUCUGGGAUAACAGUCGGAAACGGUUGCUAAUACUGGAUAUGAGCUUGCAAGGCAUCUUGUGGGUUGGAAAGAUUUUUUUGGUUGGGGAUGGACUCGCGGCCUAUCAGCUUGUUGGUGAGGUAGUGGCUCACCAAGGCUUCGACGGGUAGCCGGCCUGAGAGGGCGACCGGCCACAUUGGGACUGAGAUACGGCCCAAACUCCUACGGGAGGCAGCAGUGGGGAAUAUUGCACAAUGGACGGAAGUCUGAUGCAGCAACGCCGCGUGCGGGAUGACGGCCUUCGGGUUGUAAACCGCUUUCAAUUGUGACGAAGCUUUUUGUGACGGUAGCAGUAGAAGAAGCACCGGCUAACUACGUG